rnacentral:ncRNA from 2 species
CUGAGAAGUAGAGGUGCAUUAAAAAUCAGUAGUGAUAGUCAGGGUGAUACCGCUUAUCUAUCAUGAAAGGGUUUGAUGCCGAAGUAGUAAUGCAUAUCACGGUUUACUACUGGGGCUGUAUCGAAUAGGUACAGCACUGCCAUAGUGUCUCUUAUCCGGAUGAUAAGAAGAUUUUAUACCUAUUAAUAAAUGGUAUUACUAUGGAGCGCUACUGAUAGG